GCCUGAGUGGCUCAGUCGGUUAAGCAUCCAACUUUGGCUCAGGUCAUGAACUUGUGGUUCGUGGGUUCAAGCCCCACAUCAGGCU
rnacentral:tRNA from 1 species